GACCCCUCCGCCUCGGGGAAGGUCGGAGAAAAGGCUUGGAGUCAGGUCACCAAGGCGGCCCCCGGUGGAGUUGAGGGCAGCCAAGAGCAAGGCCAUGGCAAGGCACCGCAGCCGCAGCCGCCCACGGCCUCGGCGGUCUCGCAGCGGCACUCGGCAGCGGUCGGAGGACAGGAGUCAGCAGAGACAGCCUCGC
rnacentral:ribozyme from 1 species